rnacentral:rRNA from 1 species
GAUGAACGCUGGCGGCGUGCCUAAUACAUGCAAGUCGAGCGAACAGACGAGGAGCUUGCUCCUUCGACGUUAGCGGCGGACGGGUGAGUAACACGUAGGUAACCUACCUAUAAGACUGGGAUAACUUCGGGAAACCGGAGCUAAUACCGGAUAAUAUUUCGAACCGCAUGGGUCGAUAGUGAAAUAUGGCUUUUCUAUCACUUAUAGAUGGACCUGCGCCGUAUUAGCUAGUUGGUAAGGUAACGGCUUACCAAGGCAACGAUACGUAGCCGACCUCAGAGGGUGAUCGGCGACAUUGGAACUGAGACACGGUCCAGACUCCUACGGGAGGCAGCAGUAGGGAAUCGUACGCAAUGGGGGAAAGCCUGACGGAGCAACGCCGCGUGAGUGAUGAAGGUCCUCGGAUCGUAAAACUCUGUUAUUAGGGAAGAACAAACGUGUAAGUAACUGUGCACGUAUUGACGGUACCGAAUCAGAAAGCCACGGCUAACUACGUG